rnacentral:misc_RNA from 1 species
UCUGCGUGGUCGCCUCGAGGU